rnacentral:snRNA from 1 species
GCUUCAUAUAGCAGCAGCACAUAUGCUAAAAUUGGAAUGAUACAGAGAAGAGUACCAUGGCCCCUGAACAAUAUGCACUAUUAUUACAGCAGUAAAAUGAUUCU